rnacentral:rRNA from 1 species
GAUGAACGCUGGCGGCGUGCCUAAUACAUGCAAGUCGAGCGAACAGACGAGGAGCUUGCUCCUCUGACGUUAGCGGCGGACGGGUGAGUAACACGUGGAUAACCUACCUAUAAGACUGGGAUAACUUCGGGAAACCGGAGCUAAUACCGGAUAAUAUAUUGAACCGCAUGGUUCAAUAGUGAAAGACGGUUUUGCUGUCACUUAUAGAUGGAUCCGCGCCGCAUUAGCUAGUUGGUAAGGUAACGGCUUACCAAGGCAACGAUGCGUAGCCGACCUGAGAGGGUGAUCGGCCACACUGGAACUGAGACACGGUCCAGACUCCUACGGGAGGCAGCAGUAGGGAAUCUUCUGCAAUGGGCGAAAGCCUGACGGAGCAACGCCGCGUGAGUGAUGAAGGUCUUCGGAUCGUAAGACUCUGUUAUUAGGGAAGAACAAAUGUGUAAGUAACUAUGCACGUCUUGACGGUACCUAAUCAGAAAGCCACGGCUAACUACGUG